rnacentral:rRNA from 1 species
CCCUUAGAUGUCCUGGGCCGCACGCGCGCUACACUGAGUGUCUGAGAUACGAGUCUGCCUGGUCCGGCAAGGUCUAGGUAAUCGCUAAAAGACACACCAUGCUUGGGAUAGAUUAUUGCAAAUAUUAAUCUUGAACGAGGAAUUCCUAGUAAGCGCAAGUCAACAGCUUGCGUUGAUUACGUCCCUGCCCUUUGUACACACCGCCCGUCGCUACUACUGAUUGGAUGUUUAAGCGAGGUUCUCGAACUGCUAGCGACUUAGCUUCGGUGAGGUCGCAGUGUGGGAAGUGAACCUAGCUUUGGUGUCUAGAGGAAGUAAAAGUCGUAACA